GCGUCGCGGCACUCCAUUUUUAUGCCGCGGCGUACAUAAGUAAAGGAGGAAAUACCGCGGCUGGCGGUGCGUCAGUGUGGAGACCUGGCGUAAUGCUGCGCAUCCCAAGCGGAUGCCGGCGAGGCGCCCCAUUGCGGAGGCAGAGGCGUCACAGCGAACUUAUGGCA
rnacentral:ncRNA from 1 species